CACACGACUCUCGGCAACGGAUAUCUCGGCUCUCGCAUCGAUGAAGAACGUAGCGAAAUGCGAUACCUGGUGUGAAUUGCAGAAUCCCGCGAACCAUCGAGUCUUUGAACGCAAGUUGCGCCCGAGGCCACUCGGCCGAGGGCACGCCCGCCUGGGCGUCACGC
rnacentral:rRNA from 1 species